AGACCAAGGCGCGCCGGAGGCCACGGAGAAAGCGCCGAGAAGGCGGGCCCCGCCUGAGGUCUGGCAAUCAGUGACAGAGUCGGGUGCCCACUGCCCAAGCGUCACCAACAGCAUCAUGCCCGCACUUCUGGAGCGCCCCAAGCUUUCCAACGCCAUGGCCAGGGCUCUGCACCGGCACAUCAUGAUGGAGCGGGAGCGCAAACGGCAGGAGGAGGAAGAGGUGGACAAGAUGAUGGAACAGAAGAUGAAAGAAGAACAGGAGAGAAGAAAGAAAAAGGAAAUGGAAGAGAGAAUGUCACUAGAAGAGACCAAGGAACAAAUUCUGAAACUGCAGCAGAAGCUUUCAGCUCUACAGGAAGAGAAACACCAGCUUUUCUUGCAGCUCAAGAAAGUUUUGCAUGAGGAAGAAAAACGGAGGCGAAAGGAACAGAGUGACUUAACCACUCUGACAUCAGCUGCAUACCAGCAGAGCCUGACGGUUCAUACAGGAACUCACCUCCUCAGCAUGCAGGGUGAGGACUAAAUAAACUGCCUAACAGAGGGGGCUCUCCUGGAGGUCGCAGCCUUAUUUUGGCAUCUUGAAACCUCUCCCUUUCUAGGGAGUCCUGGAGGACACAACCGCCCAGGUACUCUGAUGGCAGCUGACAGAGCCAAGCAGAUGUUUGGACCACAAGUGCU
rnacentral:lncRNA from 1 species